rnacentral:rRNA from 1 species
CCGAGUGGUGUGGAUGUUUAUUGGGCCUAAAGCAUCCGUAGCUGGCCAAGCCAGUCCCCUGUUAAACCCAACGAAUUAAUCGUUGGAUUGCGGGGGAUACUGCUCGGCUAGGGGACGAGAGAGGCCGACGGUAUUCUCGGGGUAGGGGUGAAAUCCUAUAAUCCCGGGAAGACCACCAGUGGCGAAGGCUGUCGGCUAGAACGCG